UUCACAAUGAAUGUUGUCACAAAGCAUUAACAAGUCAUUUAGUUAUUUUCACCAGUUUGAAAAUAUUAGAUUAAGUGUGAGAGAUUAACUCCUAAGAGAUAUCUGUUCAUACAACUUUGAUUCAGAAUAUGUGAAGCAGUGCAACUUCCAGCCAAGCACUAUGAGCACAAGUGUUUUACAGCUUUCAUUUAUCUAAAAGUUAUUUAAAUAUUUAAAAGUAUUUUAAAGGUAUUUAAAAGAUACUCCAUUUGCUAAAAUCUAAAUCUCUAAGCAAUUUUUUUCCUAGAAGGCAGUCCCAUGAUCUUUCCCCAGUGCAAUUUUUCCUCUAUAAAGACAUUUAGCAGACACCACAUUCUCCUUUAGCCUCCUACACUACCCAUAUCAGCUGACGGCUUUGCAUCAGAGGUGUAUUGCUCCCACCUGUGCUCAGGGUGCAGUGUAGAAGAAGCCCUUCCUUCCUUUUCCAGAGGAAGGGAAAUGGCUUGGUGCAGCCUGGGUUCUACAGCUGACUGAUUUUUCUCACUGGCUCUGUAAUCCUUCUCCACUCUCAGAACUAUGGAGGAGCGAGGUGGAGCCUUGUACUUCUGAGAAAGGAUAUAAAGCUGCUGGCAUUUGCCCACUAUAAGGAACAAGGACCUGCUCACAGAAAACAAACAAACAAACAAAAAAAGCAAAAUGAAGAAUCUCAAAGGAGUCCCCUUGAGAGCUGAAAACUGACUUUCCCUGACGUGGAAAAAAAAAGUAGUUUACACCAUUUCAACAGAUCCUGAUUGCUCCAAGGCCUGAAGGAUGUCUGAAGAGGUCCUGAACGAAAGUUAUUGUUGAAAACCUUCAGCUGCGCUGAGUUCUCGCAUCUUCCGGAGCUCGUAAGGUCUAACUCGUGCUUAGUCGCCGUCUCGGCAGCCGCUCACCGCUCGCUACCACCCUCGGCACCGCCCGCCCCCGUUGCCAUGGCGGGGCCGGCGGCGUCGGCACCAUAGCCUGCAGGGCCGCGGCCGCCGCGCUCCGCUCGGGAUGGGGGCUCCGCGCCGCUGCUUUUCAGGUGCGACACGGGGGGACGCGCCGUUGGCGACCCCCUCUCCUCCCCCGUCGUCCACGCGGGACGGGUCCGCCAUUUCGCCGGGGGGCCGCAGCCAAAGGGCCGCUAUCCGCCGUGGGGGCUACGGCUACACCGGGUAGUUAACGAGUUAGGGAGAAAAAUGAACGCACCUGUCUCGUAGCCGGUAGGUUGUGGUGGUGCAGCCGCUCCUGGCUCGGUGCUUCUGAGCCCAAUGCCCGCCCUGUCCCACCGCUGCCCGCAGUCAGCCCUCCUACCUGCCAGACUGAGCGGCUGCUAUUGAGACGUGCUCUGCUGGCACUUUUUUCUCUCCGUGCUCCAUAAGGAAGGGGCUCGCAGCAAGCUUUGCCUGUUCUCUAGGCUCCGGUGUUGGUAUAAAGUUUACUUACCAUUCCUCACUGAAUAGCAUCUUCCUCAGCAGAGAUCUUCAAUGUGCGCUUUCUGUAACAAGUGUAAUUUUCUGUAGUGAUGAGAUACCAGUGCUUUUUGUGGACUUUGUUUUUAUUUCUGCACUGAUGUUUUCUUUCCCAACGACACGCUGGUGUAAAAUGCUGCUGCCUCCAAUUGUAAGUUGGUUUCUUUUAACUUUUUGUUCUUCCUGUAACAAAUUUGGUACUACAACCCCUAACAGAGUGACUUGGAGGAAUUAACCAUAUUCGGACAUCUUCACCCACAGUUUAUUGCUAUUCCAUUCUAAGUAACGAUUAAAAAGAAUUAAGAAAAAAUAAAAAAGCUUCACGAUAUCUCUAGUGAAAUACUUCAUGAGUGGAAGGGAUUUCGUUCACAGGAAGGCUGGUAAAUACAGUAUUCUGCUACUCUGAUACCGAUCAUCAAGUUGAUUUGUAUCUAUCACUCCCUUCCCACAAAAGGAAUUUCCUUCCACUAAAUGCAGCAAAUAGUUAACUUCUUCCUCUCCUCCUCCUCUCCCCCCCCCCUUAUAUUCUGUUUUCCCGUCCCUAUUAAAAGUUUGUGCCUUGAGGCCUACCAGCAGGGCAUGCAAUACCUACAUUAAACCAAAUUUAAAAGUGAGGGUGCUCCUGCUGCUAACGUCCUCAGAUCACAGGCAUGCAAAAUGAAGGAACUGGCAGCUGAAACUUUAAUGGUAGGAAGUGCAGGCUGAAUACUUGGGGAAAAAACACAGUAGCUCUCUAUGACAAAGAAGUCCUAUUAGCAUUUAUGUACUUCAAAAUGACAAGCCAGACAAUUCUACAUAACUGUGGGGCUUUCUGCUUUUGUUUUAAGUAAAAUCCUAAGUUGCAUGUAUAGCAUUACUUGGAUUUUUCUACUCAAAUGCUUGUUACUGGGACAAUUAUGUAUUAUUUUGAACAUUAAUUCAUUGUCUUUUGUUGCAUUGCACAUUGCAUGUUCAGUCAUUUCUUCACUUUACGUACCAGCAUAGAUUAUUAGCAUUUGGACCUACCUAGCUUGAGGAAGCAUGGGGAAUCACAUGCAAGUAAGAUGCCUGCACUGGUUGUUUCUAUGUAGAUUCAAAGCACUUCAAUAACAGAAAGAAAACUAUUGAACUUAAGGUCAUAUCCAUUCCUACAC
rnacentral:lncRNA from 1 species